rnacentral:rRNA from 1 species
GUGAACGCUGGCGGUAGGCCUAACACAUGCCAGUCGAACGGCAGCACAGUAAGAGCUUGCUCUUACGGGUGGCGAGUGGCGGACGGGUGAGGAAUACCUCGGAAUCUACUUUUUCGUGGGGGAUAACGUAGGGAAACUUACGCUAAUACCGCAUACGACCUACGGGUGAAAGCAGGGGAUCUUCGGACCUUGCGCGAUUGAAUGAGCCGAUGUCGUAUUAGCUAGUUGGCGGGGUAAAGGCCCACCAAGGCGACGAUCCGUAGCUGGUCUGAGAGGAUGAUCAGCCACACUGGAACUGAGACACGGUCCAGACUCCUACGGGAGGCAGCAGUGGGGAAUAUUGGACAAUGGGCGCAAGCCUGAUCCAGCCAUACCGCGUGGGUGAAGAAGGCCUUCGGGUUGUAAAGCCCUUUUGUUGGGAAAGAAAAGCAGCAGGUUAAUACCCCGCUGUUCUGACGGUACCCAAAGAAGAAGCACCGGCUAACUUCGUG